rnacentral:rRNA from 1 species
UCGAGAAUCUUUCGCAAUGGGCGCAAGCCUGACGAAGCGACGCCGUGUGAGCGAAGAAGGCCUUCGGGUUGUAAAGCUCUUUCGCUAGGGAACAAGAAAGGGGCAUUAACACCGCUCCGAUUUGAGGGUACUUGGUAAAGAAGCACCGGCUAACUCCGUGCCAGCAGCUGCGGUAAUACGGAGGGUGCAAGCAUUGAUCGGAAUUAUUGGGCGUAAAGGGUGCGUAGGCGGUAAUGUAAGUCGGAUGUGAAAUUCCACGGCUCAACUGUGGAGCUGCAUUCGAAACUGCAUAACUGGAGCGUAGUUAGGGAAAACGGAAUUCCACGUGUAGCGGUGAAAUGCGUAGAUAUGUGGAAGAACACCAGUGGUGAAGACGGUUUUCUGGGCUAUAGCUGACGCUGAGGCACGAAAGCUAGGGGAGCAAACAGGAUUAGAUACCCCCGUAGUCC